rnacentral:rRNA from 1 species
CCUACGGGGGGCUGCAGUGGGGAAUAUUGGACAAUGGGGGGAACCCUGAUCCAGCCAUGCCGCGUGUGUGAAGAAGGCCCUCGGGUUGUAAAGCACUUUCAGUGAGGAAGAACGCCUGGUGGUUAAUACCCAUCAGGAAAGACAUCACUCACAGAAGAAGCACCGGCUAACUCCGUGCCAGCAGCCGCGGUAAUACGGAGGGUGCGAGCGUUAAUCGGAAUUACUGGGCGUAAAGCGCGCGUAGGUGGCUUGAUAAGCCGGUUGUGAAAGCCCCGGGCUCAACCUGGGAACGGCAUCCGGAACUGUCAAGCUAGAGGGCAGGAGAGGACGGUAGAAUUCCCGGUGUAGCGGUGAAAUGCGUAGAGAUCGGGAGGAAUACCAGUGGCGAAGGCGGCCUUCUGGACUGACACUGACACUGAGGUGCGAAAGCGUGGGUAGCAAACAGGAUUAGAUACCCGUGUAGUC